rnacentral:rRNA from 1 species
UCGAGCGGCGGACGGGUGAGUAAUGCCUGGGAAAUUGCCCUGAUGUGGGGGAUAACCAUUGGAAACGAUGGCUAAUACCGCAUAACGUCUACGGACCAAAGAGGGGGACCUUCGGGCCUCUCGCUUCAGGAUAUGCCCAGGUGGGAUUAGCUAGUUGGUGAGGUAAUGGCUCACCAAGGCGACGAUCCCUAGCUGGUCUGAGAGGAUGAUCAGCCACACUGGAACUGAGACACGGUCCAGACUCCUACGGGAGGCAGCAGUGGGGAAUAUUGCACAAUGGGCGCAAGCCUGAUGCAGCCAUGCCGCGUGUAUGAAGAAGGCCUUCGGGUUGUAAAGUACUUUCAGUCGUGAGGAAGGCGUUGGAGUUAAUAGCUUCAUCGUUUGACGUUAGCGACAGAAGAAGCACCGGCUAACUCCGUGCCAGCAGCCGCGGUAAUACGGAGGGUGCGAGCGUUAAUCGGAAUUACUGGGCGUAAAGCGCAUGCAGGUGGUUUGUUAAGUCAGAUGUGAAAGCCCGGGGCUCAACCUCGGAACCGCAUUUGAAACUGGCAGGCUAGAGUACUGUAGAGGGGGGUAGAAUUUCAGGUGUAGCGGUGAAAUGCGUAGAGAUCUGAAGGAAUACCAGUGGCGAAGGCGGCCCCCUGGACAGAUACUGACACUCAGAUGCGAAAGCGUGGGGAGCAAACAGGAUUAGAUACCCUGGUAGUCCACGCCGUAAACGAUGUCUACUUGGAGGUUGUGGCCUUGAGCCGUGGCUUUCGGAGCUAACGCGUUAAGUAGACCGCCUGGGGAGUACGGUCGCAGAUUAAAACUCAAAUGAAUUGACGGGGGCCCGCACAAGCGGUGGAGCAUGUGGUUUAAUUCGAUGCAACGCGAAGAACCUUACCUACUCUUGACAUCCAGAGAAYUCGCUAGAGAUAGCUUGGUGCCUUCGGGAACUCUGAGACAGGUGCUGCAUGGCUGUCGUCAGCUCGUGUUGUGAAAUGUUGGGUUAAGUCCCGCAACGAGCGCAACCCUUAUCCUUGUUUGCCAGCACGUAAUGGUGGGAACUCCAGGGAGACUGCCGGUGAUAAACCGGAGGAAGGUGGGGACGACGUCAAGUCAUCAUGGCCCUUACGAGUAGGGCUACCACACGUCCUACAAUGGCGCAUACAGAGGGCAACAACCAGCGAUGGUGAGCGAAUCCCAAAAAGUGCGUCGUAGUCCGGAUUGGAGUCUGCAACUCGACUCCAUGAAGUCGGAAUCGCUAGUAAUCGUGAAUCAGAAUGUCACGGUGAAUACGUUCCCGGGCCUUGUACACACCGCCCGUCACACCAUGGGAGUGGGCUGCAAAAGAAGUGGGUAGUUUAA